rnacentral:rRNA from 1 species
GUCUGCAGUCACACCACCCUGAACGCGCCGGAUCUCAUCUGAUCUUGGAGGCUCAGCAGGUCGGUCCUGGUUGGUACUGGGAUGGGAGACCGCCCGGGAAUACUGGAUACUGCCGGCU